UACGUAGGGGGCAAGCGUUGUCCGGAAUCAUUGGGCGUAAAGAGCGUGUAGGCGGCUCGAUAAGUCUGCUGUGAAAGUCCAGGGCUCAACCCUGGAAGGCCGGUGGAAACUGUCGGGCUAGAGUCCGGAAGAGGCGAGUGGAAUUCCCGGUGUAGCGGUGAAAUGCGUAGAUAUCGAGAGGAACACCGAUGGCGAAGGCAGCCCCCUGGGCUGACACUGACGCUCAGGCACGAAAGCGUGGGGAGCAAACAGG
rnacentral:rRNA from 1 species